AGUGAACGCUGGCGGUAGGCCUAACACAUGCAGGUCGAACGGCAGCACAGUAAGAGCUUGCUCUUACGGGUGGCGAGUGGCGGACGGGUGAGGAAUACAUCGGAAUCUACUUUUUCGUGGGGGAUAACGUAGGGAAACUUACGCUAAUACCGCAUACGACCUACGGGUGAAAGCAGGGGAUCUUCGGACCUUGCGCGAUUGAAUGAGCCGAUGUCGGAUUAGCUAGUUGGCGGGGUAAAGGCCCACCAAGGCGACGAUCCGUAGCUGGUCUGAGAGGAUGAUCAGCCACACUGGAACUGAGACACGGUCCAGACUCCUAAGGGAGGCAGCAGUGGGGAAUAUUGGACAAUGGGCGCAAGCCUGAUCCAGCCAUACCGCGUGGGUGAAGAAGGCCUUCGGGUUGUAAAGCCCUUUUGUUGGGAAAGAAAAGCAGCAGGUUAAUACCCCGCUGUUCUGACGGUACCCAAAGAAUAAGCACCGGCUAACUUCGUG
rnacentral:rRNA from 1 species